UACGGGGGGAGCAAGCGUUGUUCGGAUUUACUGGGCGUAAAGGGCGCGUAGGCGGCCUCUGCAAGUCGACUGUGAAAUCUCCGGGCUUAACCCGGAAAGGUCAGCCGAUACUGCAGGGCUAGAGUGCAGAAGGGGCAACUGGAAUUCUCGGUGUAGCGGUGAAAUGCGUAGAUAUCGAGAGGAACACCUGCGGCGAAGGCGGGUUGCUGGGCUGACACUGACGCUGAAGCACGAAAGCUAGGGUAGCAAACGGG
rnacentral:rRNA from 1 species